rnacentral:rRNA from 1 species
GUGGGGAAUUUUGGACAAUGGGCGCAAGCCUGAUCCAGCCAUGCCGCGUGAGUGAAGAAGGCCUUCGGGUUGUAAAGCUCUUUCGCAAGGGAAGAAAACGUGUGGGCUAAUAUCCUGCGCGGAUGACGGUACCUUGACAAGAAGCACCGGCUAACUACGUGCCAGCAGCCGCGGUAAUACGUAGGGUGCGAGCGUUAAUCGGAAUUACUGGGCGUAAAGCGUGCGCAGGCGGUUGUGUAAGACAGGUGUGAAAUCCCCGGGCUUAACCUGGGAACUGCGCUUGUGACUGCACGGCUAGAGUACGGCAGAGGGGGGUGGAAUUCCUGGUGUAGCAGUGAAAUGCGUAGAUAUCAGGAGGAACACCGAUGGCGAAGGCAGCCCCCUGGGCCUGUACUGACGCUCAUGCACGAAAGCGUGGGGAGCAAACAGGAUUAGAAACCCCGGUAGUCC